rnacentral:rRNA from 1 species
UACAUGGGGUGCAAACGUUGCUCGGAAUUAUUGGGCGUAAAGCGCGCGUAGGCGGUUACUUAAGUUGGAUGUGAAAGCCCUCGGCGUUAACUGAGGAAGUGCAUCCAAAACUGAGUAGCUAGAGUACGAAAGAGGGUCGCGGAAUUCCCGGUGUAGAGGUGAAAUUCGUAGAUAUCGGGAGGAACACCGGUGGCGAAGGCGGCCAACUGGACGAAUACUGACGCUGAGACACGAAAGCGUGGGGAGCAAACAGG